rnacentral:rRNA from 1 species
UACGUAGGGUGCAAGCGUUGUCCGGAAUUAUUGGGCGUAAAGAGCUCGUAGGCGGUUUGUCGCGUCUGCUGUGAAAACCCGAGGCUCAACCUCGGGCCUGCAGUGGGUACGGGCAAACUGGAGUGUUGCAGGGGAGACUGGAAUUCCUGGUGUAGCGGUGAAAUGCGCAGAUAUCAGGAGGAACACCGGUGGCGAAGGCGGGUCUCUGGGCAACAACUGACGCUGAGGAGCGAAAGCGUGGGGAGCGAACAGG